rnacentral:lncRNA from 1 species
CAAGACGCUGUUGGGAAGGUGAGCUGGUGAAGGUUAGCGUGAGGAGGAGGAGCCGCCGGUCCUAUAUAAGAUCCUGCACACCGACACUCGACAUCACUCUGGCUUCACUCCUCAACCACACAACUUCUACAACCAUGCGUUGUCUGUCAGUAUUGGCGGUGCUGGCCGUGAUGGUGGCCCUUGCCUAUGGUUAUCCAACCAUUGGAAUUGGUGCCGGAUUGGGCGCCCACGCUGGACUUGGCGCUGGCCUAGGUCCGUAUGGGCCGGGUCGGUAUGCUGAUCCGGCUCUGUAUGGACCGGGUCCAUAUGGGCCGGGUAGGUACGCUCCUGGGUGGUGAAGACUUCGGGGUCCAGCAGCAAUCAUUUCAAUGAAUAUUUUAUGAAAUAAAAUUUUCAGUACA